UUUACACAGAUAUUAUAUUGCGUCCCUUUCCUUCCUUCCCCCACCCCCCCGCGCUCCUUUCGAGCCAUUGUGCUUAACUGAAUUUUAUAAAGCUGAUCGAUAUCUUGGUAAAAUAUUCAUUUUUAAACUAGCGGGCAGCGAAAUCUUUGCUUUGUGCUAAAGUCAACACCAGCACAGUUUCGGCUCCCAUAAAUGCCGGGAUGCUCCCGGCUCCCGCAGAGCCGGGCCGGCGGCCGGGGCGCAGAAAUAGUCCUAAUCCUGUAUUUCGGCCGGGUAAAGUCCGCUUCUGCUCCGCACUAGAUUAAUCCAGAAACCACAUAAAACCAGGUAACACGGAUUUCUGCAGCAGGGAGAGCUCUACCUGCCCAAACUGCCUACCACCGAUGCCAGCGUGUAAGGUGCUCGCCCUGUGGCUUCCUGCUGGUUUUGCCUCACACCAGCAGUAAAAAGAAUGAUCCUCAUCUCUCCACGGCUGGAAAACAGCUGCAAACAGCACUGGGGAGUGGGAAUGCGGUGAUUUUACUUCCCACCCUGUAUUGAAAGCAUCGAGAUUGAAGGAUUUUGGAGACCCUGAAAUGUUUGUGUGUCACUGUCAGCUGCGGGGCUUCACCAUCUGCCUGCACUUACCCCCCCCCCCCCCCCCCAUUUGUUGUGAUAAUGGCACAAGAAAUCAGUGUCGGGGGGAGCUGGGGCAAACUUCUGGGCUCCCCCGAGCGUGCUGCUGCCGUGUACAGAUCCCUUAUUAAAGCCACAGAUUCCCAUCUC